CUCCUCCUGCCCCCGUGAGGCUCACAGUGCAGCGGGGCUGGGCAGCCGUGACAACCAUGACUUGCGAAACAGGGAGGAGGUUUGUCUACGAGAGCAUGAGCUGAGGACCACAAGCCUGGAAAGAAGCUUUUAUCCUUCCCUUCUUUCCAGUUGAGGAAACUACAGCUGAGAGAGGGGCUUACCAAGCUGCGGUCCGUGGAGCACACUGCCAGCAGAGAAGACGUUACGUUGUUCCAAGUCUCAGCUGUGCGUUCAUGAGCCGUGUGGACUUGGGCAAGUCUCACAGAGUCUGUUUCCUCACCUAAGAAACGGGGGUUAUAGUGCACCAAGAGCCCUGACACUGCCAUCUGCCAUCUGGUUUCUGGGACUGUAUCCUAAGUAGUGAAGAAGCUCACCUUCACUUCGCCACUGUUGAGUGAACACCUCCUCUCCCAUUCAGGCCGAAUCCAAGAAGAGGAGACAGAACCUGCCCUUGAUGAGCUAACAGUCAGGAGAGGAGACGGGGGCAACACAGCGUCACAAUAAAGGGAAGAGCCAGGCGAUGGAGGUGACAGUCGGUGAGAAGGCAGCUGUCUUGGGGACCCAAAUGUCCUGUCAGCUGGACCAAGGCAUUGCCCCCCUGAAGAUGGACCCAUAGGGGACUGUAAAUCCUAAUCCAUUUGCAUGCCACUCCCUCAGGGUGCCCUCCAGCCGCCUCCCUUGCCUUCUGCAGGAGCCACCUUGCUGCAAUAUAUACACAGCACCUUCUGCUUAUUCCAUUGGAGUUAAAUCAACUUGUUCAUUGUCUCUUCUGCUGCACUGCCAGCCCCAUUAGGACAGGAACCAUGUUCUUCUGGCUCUUUUGCCAGCCCUGGCAUCUCACGCAAUGUCAGAGCAUAGCAAACAUUCAAUAAAUAACAGUUCUCAGCCCUGGCUGGCGUAGCUCAGUGGA